CAGAAGAACAUCACUGCUUUUGAAGAAACAUCCCUGCUCUGCAGAGAAAUCUCCCCAGGCCUGGCAACCUAAAAACUGUGGUUGUCAUUGAGCGAGCCUGAAGUUGUGCGCAUAGUUCAUUUCAGCAGCAGCCUGGGAAUGAUCCUGAGCUGAUUAAACUGUGCUAAGUCAUCAGCUGCUGGUGCUGAAGGCUGUUCUAUGACUUGGAGUUGAGAAUUGCAGUGGUUUCCUCAUUUACAUACAGACUUGUUGGGAAGGAGCAUCAUGCAGAUACCUGUUAAAUGCACAGAGAUGCUCUAAUGGGUGCAAAGUGGUUUUGUGUCUGAAAUUUGGUGCUGUUAAUAAUUUAGGAGCACAUAAAAAAGUCCACCUGGAGGGAGGCUGGAGCUUCUAGCUGCUGCAAAGAGCUACCAUAAAACCCAGGCUGACCCAGAUGGCAGCUGGACAAGCUUGGCCCCAGAGAAGCUGGAUUUUGGCUGUUAGCAACAAGUCAUUUUAGGGCUGUCAGAAAUCAGCCUUGAUUUACUUGCACAGAACACAGAUUAAUUGGACAGAAUAUAAAGGAAACUAAUGGCUAAACCUCACAGAUGAAUUAUCAAACCAGGUAGACCUCCUGCCUGGCACAAAAGAUGCUGGCAAACCACCCAGAAACGAGGCAGAUUUGCUUGCAGCCAUGUGCUCCCUCUGCUUUUCUGUGACAGUGCAGCCAUUUGUAAUCUGCUGGUGAUUUACCUGUGUGUGUGUGACAAAAAGGAAGGUGAGAUGUGGUUUUUUGCAUUUCUUUGUGCCCCAUCAGUGUGCUAUCUCACCAGAGGCAUGCACAGAGAGGGAUGGAAAAGCCAAUUUUCCUAUUUUCACCAUGGUUUAAAGAAAGUGCAUAGAAACUAUUUUGGUGGAUCGGCAGUUUGUUAGAAGUGUCUAUUAAACAGAUUUCCACGUUAGCAGAGCUCUGGUGACUUACAUCAGUCAAGAAUCAGCUCAUCAUUUCCUUUAAAGUUACUCAUUCUGUGGUUAGGAGCUCUCUAAGCAGCAUUUCAACUGAAUUUUUAAAAAGAAGAAACCCUCAAUGAACUUUCUGAUGCAAAUACAAGUUUGAAGUGAUAUUUCACAGCAAUAAUGCAGUUAAUUUUCUUCUUCCAGAGCUUUCGGUGAGCUUCAGUGAAAGGGAUGUUCCAUCUUCUUGGUCUCUGUAUCAAUAUUUGUACUUUGUAUUACAUUUUACAAAAACCAUUUUCACAAACCUUUUUAUUUGAAUUCAGCAUGUUAAACAUGGCUUUCAUAAACCUCUGAUGUGCUAUCAAUAAUUUACCAAGCACAAGGCUUACAACUUAGCUAAAAGUUAUCAUCUAUAAUGUAUGCAUCUACUUGCGUUUUCCCAGAAGCAGUGCAAUUUGACCUUUUGCUAUACAAAGGAGUACGCUGUUUCUGCAUGGUGAGGCUGUGGUUUUCCUCUUUGUUUUGCACUGCAAGCAUUGCAUAAUCUUGAAUUUAAAAAAGAAAAAAAAAAAAGACAUUAAGUUGCAAAGUGUUUAGGCUGGGAAACAAAUACAAGCCCUACUAUACUCUCUUGAGCAGUGCAUUAUACUACAGUGUAAAAUUUCAUACUAAAAAUGUUUUGGAGCCCUGUCACAGCGUAACACUGUGCUCCUGAGGAUAAUUAUACCUUUGGGAGCAAUUCACUUUUUCCUCAAAAUGAAGCUGUUUCCCCAGACAUGGCAUGUUUUCAGAUGUGCCAAAGUGACCUGAGGAGUUUUAGUUACGUGUUCAGAGUGAUGCUGGGUGUCCAUUGAAAUGAAUGGGACUUAGUUUCCUAAAAGUUCAAGUUGCUUUUGAGAAUAGGCAUUACGCAGCCAAGUCACUUUGAUCUGGCAUUACAGCUCUGUUAAAAAAAGAUUCUGCUGUUUUGUUUUAUGUCAGCAAGGCCACCAAGACCAUUCUUCUCUUUCCUCUUCUCUUUUCAACUACUUCAGCCACCGGUACUCUAAAAGCAGAGGCUCUCAGACUUAUAGUGAUACAGUCUAGAGAAACCUGACGCUCAGCCUUCCUAUAUAAUCACAUGGAUACGAAAGCGGGCUUCUAUUCAAAAUCAGGUGCUGGGUGGUGGGCUGAAGAGACUGAUCUUCCACAUGCGUUCAGGUAUCAUACUAAGAGACAUAGGUUCCAAAAUCAUUGGGUGCAAGUAAAAUUUGCAGUGCAGUCCUACUAGAAUUACGAUUUCAAAAUCAUAUGAAGGAGUUUUGUGUUUGUAAUGAAACCCCAAAUUGGCUGGACUGUAGGAUUUGGGGGUAUUCUAACCCUCCCCAAAUUAUUCAUCAGAUAAGAACCCCUUCAUUGGGUGGGCAAUUUUCUGGACUGCUUCUGAGUGCUGUGGUAUCUCAGCACUGGGUUUUGGAUGAGGUCUUUUGAGAUGCUAUUUCUCCAACUUACUCCCUCAGCAAAGCAUCACUGACUUUGUGAAAGAACUCUCUUUGUUCCCUCUGUGGAUCAGCACUGAAGCAGCGUACUUGGCUCAAUAACCAGAUCUGGUCUAGAAGCAGGAAGGUAGAUUUGGAAACCGAUGCAGUUUGGUGACUCAGGACAAAACCUUCACGCCUCUCUGAUGAAGAUGGGUUCUGCCUAUUGAGGAAAGCUGAAGUUCCCCUGUGAGCUGCACCUACCAUAAUGCUCCCAAGAGUUAUGUUUGCACACCUGGAGACUCUCUGUGCUUCUGUUGUUACCGGGAUCUGCCUUAGGAAUUCAGUCAGAUGGGAGAAAUAAUAUAGGCUGUGGUCUAGGCAGGGAAAACAAAGCAUCAUUGCAAAGCAUGAAGCACUUAGCUCACAGUGCUCAUCAAACAUUCCAGCAGAUGGCAGAGGAGCUCACUAAUACAGGAAUGUCCUCCAUGCAAAGCCAAUUCAAAGCUGGGACAAACCUUGUGGAGAAGAAUUUGAAAAUCUAAAACAAGAAUCUAAAGCUCAGUCCAGGUCAGCAGUGAAGUCUGAAAAGACGUUUUUUGUUUUCAAAAAGGAGUAGGUUAAUGGGCAUGGUGGUGAUAGGUCAGUGAUUGGACUAGAUGAUCUUAGUAGUCUUUUCCAAACUUAAUGCUUCUAUGAUAACUAUAUUCCCAAUUGUGUUGUGGCACCUGAUUAGGAAAGAAACACGUGAAUUCUGAUGUUGUUAUUUUCGUUCUAAGCCUAUGUUAACAGGCACAGGCACAGCAAAACAUCAGGUUUGGUGCUUUUCUCACCCAACCAACCAGCUUAACUUCUCUCACCUUGUGUUUCAUUGCCUGAAGUCAGGAGCUAUACAUGAAAGACAGCCCCAAUGGAAGCUCAAGGCUGAGCUCCCACAUGUGGCAGAGGAAACAGGCAUAGUCUAUCACUCAAGGCAAAAUUGAUUGUUUCUAUUUCUUCAAUAUAUGAAUUGAAAAAGAAGAAACAUGAAAUCCCAUUGAAAAUAAAAAUGUUUUAUACUUUUUACCUGACAGGAAUUUCUGUGCAAGUUUUUUUUACUGCCUGUAGUAUUUUUGGA